rnacentral:rRNA from 1 species
GUGGGGAAUCAUGCGCAAUGGGCGAAAGCCUGACGCAGCCAUGCCGCGUGAAUGAUGAAGGUCUUAGGAUUGUAAAAUUCUUUCACCGGGGACGAUAAUGACGGUACCCGGAGAAGAAGCUCCGGCUAACUUCGUGCCAGCAGACGCGGUAAUACGAAGGGGGCUAGCGUUGCUCGGAAUUACUGGGCGUAAAGGGCGCGUAGGCGGACAGCUUAGUCAGAGGUGAAAGCCCAGGGCUCAACCUUGGAAUUGCCUUUGAUACUGGCUGGCUGGAGUUUGGGAGAGGUGAGUGGAACUCCGAGUGUAGAGGUGAAAUUCGUAGAUAUUCGGAAGAACACCAGUGGCGAAGGCGACUCACUGGCCCAAUACUGACGCUGAGGCGCGAAAGCGUGGGGAGCAAACAGGAUUAGAUACCCUUGUAGUCC